GUCCUGUUGAAAAACUACACUUAAGACUCUUCAAAUCUGAACUAAAAUCUUCCACACAGUCCAUAGAUUCAUAAAAACACAGCACUGAAUCAGCACCUCCAAGUCCGAGACCAUGGUCC